UCGAGGGGCAGCGGUGGUGAAGGCUUGCCUUUACCAGCCGGCGACCGGCGCACGGGUGAGUAACACGUAUGCAACCUGCCUGCCACAGCCGGAUAAUCGGGAGAAAUUCCGUCUAAUACGGCAUAAUGCAUCGACGGGACAUCCUGUUGGUGCCAAAGGUUAAUUCCGGUGGCGGAUGGGCAUGCGUCGCAUUAGUUAGUUGGCGGUGUAACGGACCACCAAGACGACGAUGCGUAGGGGUUCUGAGAGGAAGGUCCCCCACACUGGUACUGAGACACGGACCACACUCAUACGGGAGGCAGCAGUGAGGAAUAUUGGUCAAUGGGCGGGAGCCUGAACCAGCCAAGUCGCGUGAGGGAUGACGGCCCUAUGGGUUGUAAACCUCUUUUGCCGGGGAGCAAAGUGCCGCACGUGUGCGGUUUGGAGAGUACCCGGAGAAAAAGCAUCGGCUAACUACGUGCCAGCAGCCGCGGUAAUACGUAGGGGGCAAGCGUUAUCCGGAUUUACUGGGUGUAAAGGGAGCGCAGACGGCAGCGCAAGUCUGGAGUGAAAUGCCGGGGCCCAACCCCGGAACUGCUUUGGAAACUGUGCAGCUUGAGUGCGGGAGAGGUAAGUGGAAUUCCUAGUGUAGCGGUGAAAUGCGUAGAUAUUAUGAGGAACACCAGUGGCGAAGGCGGCUUACUAGACCGUAACUGACGUUGAGGCUCGAAAGCGUGGGGAGCAAACAGGAUUAGAUACCCUGGUAGUCCACGCCGUACACGAUGAUUACUAGGUGUCGGGGGACCAAGGUCCUCCGGUGCCGGC
rnacentral:rRNA from 1 species